CCCCACAAACCCUAGCCGCCGCCAGCAAGGAAUGGUCGCCCUCCUGCAGCUCGCCGCAGCCCGAUCCGCCCUCCCCGGCGCACCCUCGCCCCACAUCGGAGGCUCCGCACACGCAAGUUCAUGACCAACCGUCUUCUCUCCCGCAAGCAGUUCAUGCUCGAGGUCAUCCACCCCGGCCGCCCCAACGUCUCCAAGGCGGAGCUCAAAGAGAGGCUGGCGAAGAUCUACGAGGUGAAGGACCCCGACUGCAUCUUCGUCUUCAAGUUCCGAACCAACUUCGGAGGUGGCAAGUCCACCGGAUUCGGUCUCAUCUACGACAACCUUGAGGCCGCCAAGAAGUUCGAGCCCAAGUACCGCCUCAUCAGGAACGACCUUGCUACCAAGGUAGAGAAGUCACGAAAGCAGAUGAAGGAACGUAAGAACAGGGCAAAGAAAAUCCGUGGUGUGAAGAAGACAAAGGCUGGAGAUGCCAAGAAGAAGUAAGGGAGGAAGUUACUUGCCUUGCCAUUUCUCUCAUCAUAGGCUUUGGUUUGUUUAGGGUGGGGCUCCUUCCGUCAAUGCUGAAUGUUUAGUUAGAAGUAGAGGAGAUUUUGCCAAUUACCCAUCAUGUUGAGUUUCUCGUUGCACCUUCUGUUCAGUUUUGAGGCACUUUGUCAGACACAAGAAUAUAUAUACCUGGUCAUCACGGCUUUUGUCC